CCUAUCUACCGAUUGUUAUAUUUAAUUUGACAUCAAACUGACAGAAAAUAUAUUGAACAAAGCGUUAAUGUAAAUAAGAAUUUGUUCUUAUUAACUGACUUGCCUAUUUAAAUAAAGGUUAAAAAUAAUAAAUUAAAACUAGCCAAGCAUGAUGGACCAAUUACAAUGGAGGAUUAGGUAACCAAUCACGAAUCAUGUUGUUGCGACGUCCAGUACGACUGCGCACGUUGGCAUGAGAGAAACAAAAAAACAUAUUGAUCAACUUUCUAAACCGAAUGCCACACUGAAAAUGAAAUUAAGGCUCGUGAUCCAAUCAGAUGCAGAGAGUGUGGAUACAGAAUCAUGUACAAGAAGAGAACAAAGAGAUACUCCAGUGGUUGUGUUUGACGCGCGGUGAAGUGGACGACGACAACAUUUGACUCAUUUUUGUUCUGUUCGUUUUUUAGUGUGUCACAGUGUUGCACCAAGUCACCAACACUUCAUAUUCUUUCUAGGAAACCCCACAGGCUUGGGAAGCACUACCACUAUGGGUGCCCAGUUGGUUGAUUCAUGUUCCUGCAACUGUAAUCAAUGAUAGAAAUGGUUUAUAAAAUACAUUUUGAUUGAUUGAACUUGUGGUUUUUGCACAUCAAGAAAAGAAACAGUGAACAAUAUUUUAUCAUUUGAAAAUAAAAAUAUGCAAAUGUAUUAAUUCGAAACAACAGAAUCUAUAUUAAUCAGAUUUAAACAACAGUUGGCCCUUAGACUCAACAACCCUGAAGCAACUAUCAGCAGACAAAAAUAAUCACAAAAAAUAGAUAUUGGACACUGUUAAAACAUUUGCAUGGAGAAAAGCACCAGGAAUGGACGGCUUUCUCAUAGAAUUAACAUUUUGGGACAAAGUAGCCCCCCCUUAUUUACACAAAUGACAACACACGUCACUCAAUUCAGUACUUCCUAGUUCCAUGUAUGAAACAGUUAUUUCAGUUAUGUUAAAAUCUGGAGAGUCCCCUGUUCAUUAUAGAUCCAUAAGUUUAAUAAAUUGUGACAAAAUAAUAACAAAGCUCAUAAGCAAUAGAAGGGCAAAAGUCUUACCAGAUUUUAUACAUAUCAAUCAAACAGGGGUUUAUUAAACAUUUACACAAACAAAUACAAGAACAUGUUUCAGUUUAAUACAAAUACGCUAAAAAAACAAGAUCUAGAUUGAUCAAUAAUGGAUGUUGAUGCCGGCUUUCGGCCGUCUUCAAUGGCCUUUUCUAUUCAAAACUUUGGAAGCUUUUAACUUUCCAGCUGAAAUAAUACAUUUAAUAAAAACAUUUCUAUAAAUGUCCUAAAGCAAAAAUAUACACAAAUAAUACAUUAUCUGAUAAAAUUGCUUUAGAAAGGGGCACAAGACAGGGAUGUUUUCUCCCACUCUCAUGUUUGCACUGGAAAUUGAACCGCUUCCAGAAAGAAUUAGACAGGACACAAACAUAUCAGUGUUGAUAAACAUGAAUAUAAACAAAACAUAUUUGCAGAUGAUCCCCCUCAUAUACCUGACCAAUAUUCAAAACUCGACCCCUUGCUAAAAAUAUUUUCAGAAUGUUCUAAAAUCUCAGGAUAUAAAAUGUAUGUGGAUUCAAAAAGAAAGAAAGCAUAAAUCAUGAUCUACAGCUUUAAGUUAGGGGGUUCCUUACUGAGCCCUGGACGACCAGGUGAGGGGUCCUUACUGAGCCCUGGACGACCAGGUGAGGGGUCCUUACUGAGCCCUGGACGACCAGGUGAGGGGUCCUUACUGAGCCCUGGACGACCAGGUGAGGGGUCCUUACUGAGCCCUGGACGACCAGGUGAGGGGUCCUUACUGAGACCUGGACGACCAGGUGAGGGGUCCUUACUGAGCCCUGGACGACCAGGUGAGGGGUCCUUACUGAGACCUGGACGACCAGGUGAGGGGUCCUUACUGAGCCCUGGACGACCAGGUGAGGGGUCCUUACUGAGACCUGGACGACCAGGUGAGGAGAGUUCCUUACUGAGACCUAGACAACCAGGUGAGGGGAGUUCCUUACUGAGACCUAGACAACCAGGUGAGGGGAGUUCCUUACUGAGAUCUAGACAACCAGGUGAGGGGAGACCUAGACAACCAGGUGAGGGGAGUUUCUUACUGAGACCUAGACAACCAGGUGAGGGGAGUUCCUUACUGAGACCUGGACAACCAGGUGAGGGGAGACCUAGACAACCAGGCGAGGGGAGUUCCUUACUGAGACCUAGACAACCAGGUGAGGGGAGUUCCUUACUGAGACCUAGACAACCAGGUGAGGGGAGUUCCUUACUGAGACCUAGACAACCAGGUGAGGGGCGUUCCUUACUAAUUAGUGACCUUAAUUCAUCAAUCAAGUAUUCUAUUCUCGUUCUGAGAAAUGAAGGCUAUUCCAUGUUAGAAAUUGCCAAGAAACUGAAGAAGCGACUCCGGGAUGCUGGCCUUCUAGGCAGAGUUCCUCUGUCCAGUGUCUGUGUUCUUUUGCCCAUCUUAAUCUUUUCUUUUUAUUGGCCAGUCUGAGAUACGGCUUUUCCUUUGCAACUCUGCCUAGAAGGCCAGCAUCCCGGAGUCGCCUCUUCACUGUUGACGUUGAGACUGGUGUUUUGCGGGUACUAUUUAAUGAAGCUGCCAGUUGAGGACUUGUGAGGCGUCUGUUUCUCAAACUAGACACUCUAAUGUACUUGUCCUCUUGUUCAGUUGUGCACCGGGGCCUCCCACUCCUCUUUCUAUUCUGGUUAGAGACAGUUUGCGCUGUUCUGUGAAGGGAGUAGUACACAGCGUUGUACGAGAUAUUCAGUUUCUUGGCAAUUUCUCACAUGGAAUAGCCUUCAUUUCUCAGAACGAGAAUAGGCUGACGAGUUUCAGAAGAAAGUCUGUAAUCGAACCUACAAAUGCUGAUGCUCCAGAUACUCAACUAGUCUAAAGAAGGCCCGUUUUAUUGCUUCUUUAAUUAGAACAACAGUUUUAAGCCGUAUCCAGCUACAAUAGUCAUUUACAACAUUAACGAUGUCUUCACUGUAUUUCUGAUCAAUUUGAUGUUAUUUUAAUAGUAAAAAAAAAAGAGCUUUUCUUUCAAAAACAAGGACAUUUCUAAGUGACCCCAAACUUUUGAACGGUAGUGUACAUGUUUUCUGCUGGUUAAGACAUCUCCACUACAGGACCUUGAUGAGUGUGCAUGAAGAGAAUUCUCUUGGUAGAUAAUGCGGUCGGCAUUUUGAUUGU
rnacentral:lncRNA from 1 species